AUACUCACUUCAGCUGCACAGAUACUAUUGGAAUGAUACAGAGAAAAUUGCAAUGGCCCCUACGCAACAAUGACACAAAUUUUGUGAAGCAUUCCAUAUCUUU
ensembl:snRNA U6 U6 spliceosomal RNA